rnacentral:rRNA from 1 species
CAGCCGCCACGGUAAUACGUAGGGUGCAAGCGUUAAUCGGAAUUACUGGGCGUAAAGCGUGCGCAGGCGGCUAUGCAAGACAGAUGUGAAAUCCCCGGGCUCAACCUGGGAACUGCAUUUGUGACUGCAUGGCUAGAGUACGGUAGAGGGGGAUGGAAUUCCGCGUGUAGCAGUGAAAUGCGUAGAUAUGCGGAGGAACACCGAUGGCGAAGGCAAUCCCCUGGACCUGUACUGACGCUCAUGCACGAAAGCGUGGGGAGCAAACAGGAUUAGAUACCCGCGUAGUCCCUGUCUCUUAUAC